CCUGACGCAGCAACGCCGCGUGCGGGAUGACGGCCUUCGGGUUGUAAACCGCUUUCAGCAGGGACGAAGGGUCACCUUGACGGUACCUGCAGAAGAAGCACCGGCUAACUACGUGCCAGCAGCCGCGGUGAUACGUAGGGUGCGAGCGUUGUCCGGAAUUAUUGGGCGUAAAGAGCUUGUAGGCGGUCUGUUGCGUCGGAAGUGAAAACUCAGGGCUUAACCCUGAGCCUGCUUUCGAUACGGGCAGACUUGAGGGAUGUAGGGGAGAACGGAAUUCCUGGUGGAGCGGUGGAAUGCGCAGAUAUCAGGAGGAACACCAGUGGCGAAGGCGGUUCUCUGGACAUUUCCUGACGCUGAGAAGCGAAAGCGUGGGGAGCAAACAGGCUUAGAUACCCUGGUAGUCCACGCCGUAAACGGUGGGCACUAGGUGUGGGUUCCAUUCCACGGAAUCCGUGCCGAAGCUAACGCAUUAAGUGCCCCGCCUGGGGAGUACGGCCGCAAGGCUAAAACUCAAAGGAAUUGACGGGGGCCCGCACAAGCGGCGGAGCAUGCGGAUUAAUUCGAUGCAACGCGAAGAACCUUACCUGGGUUUGACAUAUGCCGGAAACACCUAGAGAUAGGUGCCCCGCAAGGC
rnacentral:rRNA from 1 species